GGGGGCGAUCUGGCAUCGACGUGUGCGCCGGAUGUCGUGGUAGCCGUGCCGAGGUCCUGGAUCCUCGUAAAACACCGGGAAAAGCUUUACCUGCCAACGACAACAUGGCACUGGCUGCGUAAUCAACGCGUAGUCCGUCUCUCGAUUUGCCCGGCCCGAGGCGGGUCGUGAGACGACGCUGAAUCGGGCUGGCCAGUCGGGACUGCUGUGGAUCCCGCUGGUGAGAUUUUUCCGCAGCUAGCCGCCGCGGGUCGUCUGUGGACCCUGUGUCGGCGAUACAACCCAACCGCAGACUACGCACGUAGAAUCCGCGCCAGAAGGGUACGCGGACGCGGGUUCGAUUCCCGCCGCCUCCACUC
rnacentral:tmRNA from 1 species